UUGAAAAUUAAACAUAUUUUUAUUUUGUAAGUUCAUAAACUUCACUAAUAAAGUUUUCAAUAUUUAACUUAUAAAAUAAGAAAUGAAACAUGACUUUGCUGGUUCUAAAGGAGGAAUGAACAAGAUAAUAUCUUAAAGUCAUCAUAUAUCUAAACUAAUCAAGGAAAUUGAUAGAGGUCUUAAGAGAGGGUCCAUUCUAUAAUGUAAAGUUGUAAAGUCCCCUUUGCUUCUUAAUAAGUCAAAUCUUCUUGUUUGAUACUUUAUCAUGUGAUCCAUAAAGAUUAC
rnacentral:lncRNA from 1 species